UACGGGGGGGGCAAGCGUUGUUCGGAAUUACUGGGCGUAAAGGGUUCGUAGGUGGCCAACUAAGUCAUACGUGAAAUCCCUCAGCUUAACUGGGGAACUGCGUCUGAUACUGGUUGGCUUGAGUGCAGGAGAGGAACGCGGAAUUCCAGGUGUAGCGGUGAAAUGCGCAGAUAUCAGGAGGAACACCGGUGGCGAAGGCGGGUCUCUGGGCCGUAACUGACGCUGAGGAGCGAAAGCGUGGGGAGCGAACAGG
rnacentral:rRNA from 1 species